UACGGAGGGUGCAAGCGUUAUCCGGAUUUACUGGGCUUAAAGGGCGCGCAGGCGGUUAUGUAAGUCAGUGGUGAAAUCUCCGGGCUUAACCCGGAAACUGCCGUUGAUACUAUAUAUCUUGAAUGCUGUGGAGGUAAGCAGAAUAUGUCAUGUAGCGGUGAAAUGCUUAGAGAUGACAUAGAAUACCUAUUGCGAAGGCAGCUUACUACGCAGAUAUUGACGCUCAUGCACGAAAGCGUGGGGAUCAAACAGG
rnacentral:rRNA from 1 species